rnacentral:rRNA from 1 species
GCCUCAUACUAGGGAAUAGCCCAGAGAAAUUUGGAUUAAUACCCUAUAGUAUCUUUUAGAGUCAUCUCUUUAAGAUUAAAGGUUACGGUAUGAGAUGAGUAUGCGUUCUAUUAGUUAGUAGGUGAGGUAACGGCUCACCUAGACCACGAUAGAUAGGGGCCCUGAGAGGGGGAUCCCCCACACUGGUACUGAGACACGGACCAGACUCCUACGGGAGGCAGCAGUGAGGAAUAUUAGACAAUGGGCGAAAGCCUGAUCUAGCCAUGCCGCGUGCAGGAUGACGGCCCUAUGGGUUGUAAACUGCUUUUAUACAGGAAGAAAAAACUCUACGUGUAGAGUCUUGACGGUACUGUAAGAAUAAGGAUCGG